GGUAGGAUGGCUGAGUAGUAGGCAGUAAAUUGUAAAUUUAUUAAGGAAAGUAUAUUUCUCCUAUCA
rnacentral:tRNA from 1 species